rnacentral:rRNA from 1 species
AGCAGCCGCGGUAAUUCCAGCUCCAAUAGCGUAUAUUAAAGUUGUUGCAGUUAAAAAGCUCGUAGUUGAAUUUCGGGAUUAGUGCGCUGGUCAUGCCUUUGGUAUGUACUGGUGUUACUGAUUUCUACCUUCUGAAGAACCGUUAUGUCAUUUAUUUGGUGUGGCGGGGAAUCAGGACUGUUACUUUGAAAAAAUUAGAGUGUUUAAAGCAGGCAUUAGCUUGAAUACAUUAGCAUGGAAUAAUGAAAUAGGACGUUCGAUCCUAUUUUGUUGGCUUCUAGGAUUGACGUAAUGAUUAAUAGGGAUAGUUGGGGGCAUUAGUAUUCAAUUGUCAGAGGUGAAAUUCUUGGAUUUAUUGAAGACUAACUACUGCGAAAGCAUUUGCCAAGGAUGUUUUCAUUAAUCAAGAACGAAAGUUAGGGGAUCGAAGACGAUCAGAUACCGUCGUAGUCUUAACCAUAAACUAUGCCGACUAGGGAUCGGACGAUGUUAAUUUUUUAAUGACUCG